UACAGAGGGGGCAAGCGUUGUUCGGAAUUACUGGGCGUAAAGGGCGCGUAGGCGGCCUGUUAAGUCGGACGUGAAAUCCCUCGGCUCAACCGGGGGACUGCGUCCGAUACUGGCGGGCUUGAAUUCGGGAGAGGGAUGUGGAAUUCCAGGUGUAGCGGUGAAAUGCGUAGAUAUCUGGAGGAACACCGGUGGCGAAGGCGGCAUCCUGGACCGACAUUGACGCUGAGGCGCGAAAGCCAGGGGAGCAAACGGG
rnacentral:rRNA from 1 species